AGCAGCCGCGGUAAUUCCAGCUCCAAUAGCGUAUAUUAAAGUUGUUGCAGUUAAAAAGCUCGUAGUUGAAUUUCGGGAUUAAUAUGUUGGUCGUGCCUUGGUACGUACUGGCAUUAUUGAUUCCUACCUUCUGAAGAACCUCGAUGUCAUUAAUUUGGUGUCUUGGGGAAUCAGGACCGUUACUUUGAAAAAUUAGAGUGUUUAAAGCAGGCUCGCGCUUGAAUACAUUAGCAUGGAAUAAUGAAAUAGGACGUUUGAUUCUAUUUUGUUGGUUUCUAGGAUCGACGUAAUGAUUAAUAGGGAUAGUUGGGGGCAUUAGUAUUCAAUUGUCAGAGGUGAAAUUCUUGGAUUUAUUGAAGACUGACUACUGCGAAAGCAUUUGCCAAGGAUGUUUUCAUUAAUCAAGAACGAAAGUUAGGGGAUCGAAGACGAUCAGAUACCGUCGUAGUCUUAACCAUAAACUAUGCCGACUAGGGAUCGGAUGAUGUUAAUUUUUAAUGACUCAUUCGGCGCCUUACGG
rnacentral:misc_RNA from 1 species